rnacentral:rRNA from 1 species
GACGUAGGAUGCAAGCGUUGUCCGGAUUUAUUGGGCGUAAAGAGUUCGUAGGCGGUUCGUUAAGUCUGAUGUUAAAGAUCGGGGCCCAACCCCGGGAGUGCAUUGGAUACUGGCGGACUCGAGUUUGGUAGAGGAGAGUGGAAUUCCCAGUGUAGCGGUGAAAUGCGUAGAUAUUGGGAAGAACACCAGUGGCGAAGGCGGCUAUCUGGACGGUUACUGACGCUGAGGCGCGAAAGCGUGGGGAGCAAACAGG